rnacentral:rRNA from 1 species
UGGCGAGUGGCGAACGGGUGAGUAAUAUAUCGGAACGUACCGGGUAGCGGGGGAUAACUGAUCGAAAGAUCAGCUAAUACCGCAUACGUCUUGAGAGGGAAAGCAGGGGACCUUCGGGCCUUGCGCUAUCCGAGCGGCCGAUAUCUGAUUAGCUGGUUGGCGGGGUAAAGGCCCACCAAGGCGACGAUCAGUAGCGGGUCUGAGAGGAUGAUCCGCCACACUGGGACUGAGACACGGCCCAGACUCCUACGGGAGGCAGCAGUGGGGAAUUUUGGACAAUGGGCGCAAGCCUGAUCCAGCCAUGCCGCGUGUCUGAAGAAGGCCUUCGGGUUGUAAAGGACUUUUGUCAGGGAAGAAAAGGCCGAUUGCCAAUAUCGGCGGCCGAUGACGGUACCUGAAGAAUAAGCACCGGCUAACUACGUGCCAGCAGCCGCGGUAAUACGUAGGGUGCGAGCGUUAAUCGGAAUUACUGGGCGUAAAGCGGGCGCAGACGGUUACUUAAGCAGGAUGUGAAAUCCCCGGGCUCAACCCGGGAACUGCGUUCUGAACUGGGUGACUCGAGUGUGUCAGAGGGAGGUGGAAUUCCACGUGUAGCAGUGAAAUGCGUAGAGAUGUGGAGGAAUACCGAUGGCGAAGGCAGCCUCCUGGGAUAACACUGACGUUCAUGUCCGAAAGCGUGGGUAGCAAACAGGAUUAGAUACCCUGGUAGUCCACGCCCUAAACGAUGUCAAUUAGCUGUUGGGCAACUUGAUUGCUUGGUAGCGUAGCUAACGCGUGAAAUUGACCGCCUGGGGAGUACGGUCGCAAGAUUAAAACUCAAAGGAAUUGACGGGGACCCGCACAAGCGGUGGAUGAUGUGGAUUAAUUCGAUGCAACGCGAAGAACCUUACCUGGUUUUGACAUGUGCGGAAUCCUCCGGAGACGGAGGAGUGCCUUCGGGAGCCGUAACACAGGUGCUGCAUGGCUGUCGUCAGCUCGUGUCGUGAGAUGUUGGGUUAAGUCCCGCAACGAGCGCAACCCUUGUCAUUAGUUGCCAUCAUUCGGUUGGGCACUCUAAUGAGACUGCCGGUGACAAGCCGGAGGAAGGUGGGGAUGACGUCAAGUCCUCAUGGCCCUUAUGACCAGGGCUUCACACGUCAUACAAUGGUCGGUACAGAGGGUAGCCAAGCCGCGAGGCGGAGCCAAUCUCACAAAACCGAUCGUAGUCCGGAUUGCACUCUGCAACUCGAGUGCAUGAAGUCGGAAUCGCUAGUAAUCGCAGGUCAGCAUACUGCGGUGAAUACGUUCCCGGGUCUUGUACACACCGCCCGUCACACCAUGGGAGUGGGGGAUACCAGAAGUAGGUAGGGUAACCGCAAGGAGUCC